rnacentral:rRNA from 1 species
UACGUAGGGGGCAAGCGUUGUCCGGAUUUAUUGGGCGUAAAGAGCGUGUAGGCGGCCAUUCAGGUCAGCUGUGAAAACUCGAGGCUCAACCUCGAGACGUCGGUUGAAACCGUUUGGCUAGAGUCCGGAAGAGGAGAGUGGAAUUCCUGGUGUAGCGGUGGAAUGCGCAGAUAUCAGGAGGAACACCAAUGGCGAAGGCAGAUCUCUGGGCCGUAACUGACGCUGAGGAGCGAAAGCAUGGGGAGCGAACAGG